UUCCUUUUUUGCACAGCCUGAACCUUUGCUGCCACCCCAGGGAGUUGGGACGCUGAGAAGCGGGGAGGGCCAGGGAGUGCGUAACCUCGCAGCUGCUCAGGGUGCAGCCUCUGGCCGUGCUUCUCUACUUCCUUCUGGAUUAGGAGCUGAGUGAGCAAACAUGCCAAGAACUGCAGUACACUCCGGGACACGGAGCCUGAUUGGAGCAGAGGAAAGUCCAGGAACUUGGCGUUCUGCAGUGUCUUUAAGAUCUCAUGUCCCACAAACACAGGGACCAUGGCCAUUUUCCCCAAGGUCUUCCUCAAGCAAAUAUUAUCGUGCCUGGCACAUAACACAAACCUAACCAAGCACAUUUACUACUGGCAGACAGUCAACCUCUUUGUGUAAUGAAACAAUACUUUGUGAAAACCAGUGCCCAGAAGAAAAUACCCAGAAGCUGCUUCUUUUGAACAGCCUUUAUUAUUUUCUGUCUUUACUACAGAAAAGCAAAAACUCUAUAAGAUGCCUUUUUUGAUAUGAUCCUGUCUACAUGCAAUUUUUGAAUUCUUUCUAGAAGUCUUUUAGAUCCUGUUGUCCACAUUCUUCACUGGAAAUAUGUGUACAAA